rnacentral:rRNA from 1 species
UACGUAGGCAGCGAGCGUUGUUCGGAGUUACUGGGCGUAAAGGGUGUGUAGGCGGUUUUCUAAGUUUGGUGUGAAAUCUCCCGGCUCAACCGGGAGGGUGCGCCGAAAACUGGGAGACUAGAGUGCGGGAUGGGAGAGUAGAAUUCCUGGUGUAGCGGUGAAAUGCGUAGAUAUCGGGAGGAACAUCAGUGGCGAAGGCGGCUACCUGGCCCAAUACUGACACUCAGGUGCGACAGCGUGGGGAGCAAACAGG